AACGAACGCUGGCGGCAUGCCUAACACAUGCAAGUCGAACGAGACCUUCGGGUCUAGUGGCGCACGGGUGCGUAACGCGUGGGAACCUGCCCUUAGGUUCGGAAUAACUCCCCGAAAGGGGUGCUAAUACCGGAUAAUGUCUUCGGACCAAAGAUUUAUCGCCUUUGGAUGGGCCCGCGUUGGAUUAGCUAGUUGGUAGGGUAAAAGCCUACCAAGGCGACGAUCCAUAGCUGGUCUGAGAGGAUGAUCAGCCACACUGGGACUGAGACACGGCCCAGACUCCUACGGGAGGCAGCAGUGGGGAAUAUUGGACAAUGGGCGAAAGCCUGAGCCAGCAAUGCCGCGUGAGUGAUGAAGGCCUUAGGGUUGUAAAGCUCUUUUAACCGGGAUGAUAAUGACAGUACCGGGAGAAUAAGCGCCGGCUAACUCCGUG
rnacentral:rRNA from 1 species